UACGAAGGGGGCUAGCGUUGCUCGGAAUUACUGGGCGUAAAGGGCGCGUAGGCGGAUCAGCAAGUUGGGGGUGAAAGCCCGGUGCUCAACCUCGGAAUUGCCUUCAAAACUGCUGAUCUAGAGUACGGGAGAGGUGUGUGGAACUCCUGGUGUAGCGGUGGAAUGCGCAGAUAUCAGGAAGAACACCAACGGCGAAGGCAGCUCGCUGGGACGGUACUGACGCUGAGACGCGAAAGCGUGGGGAGCGAACAGG
rnacentral:rRNA from 1 species